rnacentral:rRNA from 1 species
AUUGAACGCUGGCGGCAUGCUUUACACAUGCAAGUCGAACGGUAACAGGCCGCAAGGUGCUGACGAGUGGCGAACGGGUGAGUAAUGCAUCGGAACGUGCCCAGUCGUGGGGGAUAACGCAGCGAAAGCUGCGCUAAUACCGCAUACGAUCUCUGGAUGAAAGCGGGGGACCGAAAGGCCUCGCGCGAUUGGAGCGGCCGAUGUCAGAUUAGGUAGUUGGUGGGGUAAAGGCUCACCAAGCCAACGAUCUGUAGCUGGUCUGAGAGGACGACCAGCCACACUGGGACUGAGACACGGCCCAGACUCCUACGGGAGGCAGCAGUGGGGAACUUUGGACAAUGGGCGCAAGCCUGAUCCAGCAAUGCCGCGUGCAGGAAGAAGGCCUUCGGGUUGUAAACUGCUUUUGUACGGAACGAAACGGUCCUGGUUAAUACCUGGGGCUAAUGACGGUACCGUAAGAAUAAGCACCUGCUAACUCUGUGCCAGCCGCCGCUGUAACAC